rnacentral:lncRNA from 1 species
GCCCGCCGCUUCCUGCUUCCUGGUUACCGGCGCCCGGGGCGGGGCCGGGCCGGGCCGCGGCGGUACCGAGGGGACGGCUCCGUUCGGGGCAGUGCCGGGGCCUGCGGAGCCCCGCGGCCGAGCUCGGGCCCCGCCGCUCCGCCCGGUGCCCCCCCGGGUGGCGGCCAUGUGGUGGCACCGCUGCUGGGGUCGGGCACGGGGAGGCUUGGGGGCGGUGGGACCGUGUCAGACAUGGGUAGAAAAAGAGGAAGAUCAAGCUGUCCUACCCCAACCCACUGACAGCAGGGGCAGAGUACGGCUUCAAGCAAUCAUAAACCUAACCUCUAACCAGCGAGCACCUGCUGUUGCCACAAGGACAUUCCUUCCCCAGUAUUUGCAUUCAAGUGUUCUACCGCAGCAAAACAUUUGUUGUCAGUGAGCAUGCCAUUAUUACAGCCAUUAUUCCUCCUCCCAAGGCACCAUGUUGAAUUGGCUACUGCAUCGAAAACAAGCACGCAGGUACAAAGAUAAUCAAAACAACCAUUAAAUUGGGACAGUCUACUUUCCCUGAACAGAAGAGGUUUCCAGACACAGUUGCAACAUUUUGUAGCAGGUGAUACCCAACAGAGAUUCUGCUUUUUAUUUCCAAAGGACAAGGAAGUGGUGUUGUCCCCUCCAAACUGGAUGUUCAAAUGAGAACAGCAGCUGUAGAAAGAUGACCUACAAGGAAUGACCUUUGAAGUUCAGAACAAACUAUAUAAACUCUUAUUUCACUGUAUUACUUAACGCAAAAUGCUAACAGUCCUUAAAGCAACACACAUUCAUUGAUAUACCUACUACAUGAUAGAGACCAGCACAGAACUGCGCAGACAGAAAGAUCAAACUUUGCCUGUUUAAACUUCAAAUGUAAAUAGGAACACUUCUAUGAGAUUUAGUACUGCCUGUUGCAUCAUCAGUCCAUUGUGCUUAAAUACGCAGAUUUCAAGCAGCAUUUGACUAUUUAAAGACAUAAAGUCUUUAACCAGCCAUUACAAAAACAGCUUUUUUACUCCAUGGGAAUUUUUGGGGAUUUGAGUAGAAGUUGUCAGAUACAGCUACUCACAGCUCCAUGAAACACA